rnacentral:rRNA from 1 species
AUUGAACGCUGGCGGCAGGCCUAACACAUGCAAGUCGAGCGGAUGAAGGGAGCUUGCUCCUGGAUUCAGCGGCGGACGGGUGAGUAAUGCCUAGGAAUCUGCCUGGUAGUGGGGGAUAACGUCCGGAAACGGGCGCUAAUACCGCAUACGUCCUGAGGGAGAAAGUGGGGGAUCUUCGGACCUCACGCUAUCAGAUGAGCCUAGGUCGGAUUAGCUAGUUGGUGGGGUAAAGGCCUACCAAGUCGACGAUCCGUAACUGGUCUGAGAGGAUGAUCAGUCACACUGGAACUGGGACACGGUCCAGACUCCUACGGGAGGCAGCAGUGGGGAAUAUGGGACAAUGGGCGAAAGCCUGAUCCAGCCAUGCCGCGUGUGUGAAGAAGGUCUUCGGAUUGUAAAGCACGUUAAGUUGGGAGGAAGGGCAGUAAGUUAAUACCUUGCUGGUUUGACGUUACCAACAGAAUAAGCACCGGCUAACUUCGUG